rnacentral:rRNA from 1 species
UACGUAGGGUGCGAGCGUUAAUCGGAAUUACUGGGCGUAAAGCGUGCGCAGGCGGUUUUGUAAGUCAGAUGUGAAAUCCCCGGGCUUAACCUGGGAACUGCGUUUGAAACUACAAGGCUAGAGUGUGGCAGAGGGGGGCGGAAUUCCACGUGUAGCAGUGAAAUGCGUAGAGAUGUGGAGGAAUACCGAUGGCGAAGGCAGCCCCCUGGGCCAAUACUGACGCUCAUGCACGAAAGCGUGGGGAGCAAACAGG